CUGAUGCAGUAAGAUGUACAAGUGCAUCAUCUCCAGAAUCAAUAGCCUGAUGGACGAGGAGAGGAAGAAAAGCAAAGCCACCACCCAGCUCUUCAACCUCCUGCCUUGCGCUGUCAAUCCGGCCUACGCCUAUUCAAUGAGCCUGUUCUCCUCCUGGAACUUCUCCACACUUCAAGUGUCUGAACUUUGCUGCCAACUGAUUUCCUUAAGAAAGCUCAUGCCUGCCUCCUGUCUUUCCUCAAAGGAGAAUUUACUACCAAGUCAUUGAGAACACAGGUAUCAACUCUGUUGCAAAAGUAGUUGAGCUAGAAAGCUGAUGGCAUGAACACACUCCAGCAUCUGUAGUUAUUAGCAAAGUAAGGAGCUCCAUAGCUACCAGUCAUGUCAGACAACACUAUUUCCUUUGCUUGAAUGGCCAGGUCUUCAGAUAUGUCUGGGUCAGCUGAGGACAAUGUUUUGACAGGUUGCUGAAAAAGAUUUGAUCUUGCCAUAUAGUCAAUCAUGACCCACUCAGUGGGAGAAAUUUUAUAAUUUGUUAAGCACAUAAGUGCAUUCACAGCAAAGUCUUUCCAUUAAUAAUCAGAC
rnacentral:lncRNA from 1 species